GACGAACGCUGGCGGCGUGCCUAACACAUGCAAGUCGAGCGGGGAGAAGAAUUCGUUUUUCUCUUUAGCGGCGGACGGGUGAGUAACACGUGGGUAACCUGCCUCAAAGAGGGGGAUAGCCUUCCGAACGGAAGAUAAAUACCGCAUAAUAUCAGGAAGCUGCAUGGCAUUCUGAUUAAAGGAGCAAUCCGCUUUGAGAUGGACCCGCGGCGCAUUAGCUAGUUGGUGAGGUAACGGCCCACCAAGGCGACGAUGCGUAGCCGACCUGAGAGGGUGAUCGGCCACAUUGGAACUGAGACACGGUCCAGACUCCUACGGGAGGCAGCAGUGGGGAAUAUUGCACAAUGGGGGAAACCCUGAUGCAGCAACGCCGCGUGAGUGAUGAAGGCCUUCGGGUCGUAAAGCUCUUUGAUCAGGGACGAUAAUGACGGUACCUGAAAAACAAGCCACGGCUAACUACGUGCCAGCAGCCGCGGUAACAC
rnacentral:rRNA from 1 species